rnacentral:tRNA from 1 species
GGGCGGGUGGCGAAAUUGGUAGACGCGCAGCGUUCAGGACGCUGUGGGAGCAAUCCCUUGGGGGUUCAAAUCCCCCCCCGCCCA